UAGGGCCGAAGAGUCGUGUACCUUUGUUUAAUCUGUACUGGUUUCGUUUCUUUCAGCGAUGGCGCCGCGCCGAGGCCACCACGGCGCUCUUCGAUUCUGAAGCCUGUCAGGCCAGUCCUCGAAAGCGUCGAAAAUGCAACCGAAGAUCUCACCGAGCGGCGCAGACUCUCCAAGCGCGUCAGUUUCUCCGACACCCACCAGAUAAAGUUGUUCAAGUGUGAAAUCUCAGAUGAACAUUGCUCGGCUGGGGGUGAG
rnacentral:lncRNA from 1 species